CCUUAGGGCACUGUCAUUUAAAUAUUAUGAAUUAAUCUUGUGUGGUAUCAUUUGGUACAAAUUAUUUUCCAGCUUGACCAGCAAGAAAUCUUGAGACUUUCUCAGAAUUCUUGUUCAAGUCAAGAUUCCCUAUAUCUUUCUAGUCACCUAACUCAAUAUUCCUAUCAAAAUAAGAUGAAUCUGAUGAGAUUUUUUUUAAAAAGUGAAGUUAGGCUGGCUUGUUUCCUAAUGGGCUGAGAGGACAUAUUCCCAUUCCAGAAUUUUGAAGAAUCUAAGUGCACACAACACAGUGCCUAAAGCAUGUCAGCUGUCUGUUUCAGAUGCUCGUCCUACCAUGUGUAGCAUGGCGAAGACAGGAGUCAGAGGUUGGGAAGUUUAGCUAGGUGAAAAAGUCUGCCCUAGGGCAUGCCCUUCCCACUACUGGAGAGCAGUUGCUUUACAUUUUGUUUUACCUAGCUUUUUGUAAAUAUUUCUCCCUUCCUGGGUUACUUGUGAUCAAGGGGCAUGGACUUACUCAUCUCUUAUAAUUCCAAUCAGUGCAUGACACAUCAUAGCUGAUCCUCAAUUAUGUUUUAAGUUAAUGUACUCAAGGUUUAUUUGUCAAUUGAAUGCCUAACCUAUUACAAUUAAGGAGAGAGAAUACUAUCACCUUUCAGUCCAGGUGUAUGGCAAAUGGAGAUGUCUAUAGGUAUUAGGACAUCCCUAGAAACUUUCAGAAAGGCAUUGGAGGAAUGCCUCCUUAAACAGUAUGAAACUCCAGUGAUUAGCAAUGGAGUCUAAUGAAUGAGAAGCAGUAUAAUGGCUUUCUCAAAAUAUUGGGAAAUUCAUGAUCUUUUUCUCUCCUUUAUCAUUCCUAGGGUUUUGGAAAUCUGGAUUGUAGCAGGGCAUUAUAAGUUAAAAAAUCAUCUUCCCAUUCUGUUCUUUGCAAAGAUAUUUCUGUUCCUUAAAUUUGUUGAGGGUAAGAGAUUGCAGAUUGCUUCUGUGGACUUCUUGAAGGUGGAUCUGCCUGUUGGUGGAGAACCCUAGACUGCAUGCAGCCAUGCACAUGAUCUGGAGACACAGCAGGUCAUCCUCAGCAUUUAUACUCUCUCUCCUUUUGUGCCCCCAUGGACCAAGUUAAGAAGGUGUAGGCUUCAAAUCUUAAGAUUGGUCACCACAAAAUUCAAAAGUAAGUGAAAGUGUUUAUAUUAGUGUCACUGAAUCAAGAGCCAAUCUCAAACUUUACUUGGGGAAUUUUUCAAAGUGCACAUUUAUUUGACAUACACUGCGAAAUUUUAUUUUAGUAUAGAUUUGUGGUGGGAUACUACCAUAUAUUUUGAAAACAAACAAACAAGCAAACUAAAAAAUGUUCCCCAAACCCACAGAAUCCCCAGGUACUUUUGAUGUACACACUGAUGGAGACAAACUAAUCCAGAUGAAAAGACAAAUGAAUUUUUUUCUACAUGCCUGGAAAUAAUGCCAGAUGAUUAUAGAUUUCAAACUUCAUAGAAAAUUGAAAUUUCCCCCUUUUGUAGGGGGAAUGUUUUGUUAAUCUAGCAUACACAGCCUAUGUUUUCUAUUCUUAUUACUUUUAAUAAUAAUUUUUUUCUUUUCUUUUUUUUCAGAGACAAGGUCUUUGUCUGUUGCUCAGGAUGGAGUGUAGUGGUGCCAUAGCACACUGUAAUCUUGAAUUUCUGGACUACUGGCAUACACCACCAUGCUUAGGUAAUUGUUUCUUAUUUUUUGUAGUGACAGGGUCUUACUAUGUUGCCCAGGCUGGUCUCAAACUCCUGACCUCAGGUGAUCCUCCCACCUUAGCCUCCCAAAAUGCUAGGAUUAUAGGCAUGAGCCACCAUGCCCAGCC
ensembl:lincRNA